UUAUCGAUAUGAAGAACGGUGACGUACUGGUCAAAAUGGUUAGUUUAGUAUAUAGAACAUUUUUGCUAAUUUGGCAGCUAAAAGUUUGAUACGCUUUGUACCCUACUGUAUCACGAUCCUUUUAUCGACAG